rnacentral:rRNA from 1 species
AUCUCAGUUCGGAUUGCAGGCUGCAACUCGCCUGCAUGAAGCUGGAAUUGCUAGUAAUCGCGGAUCAGCAAGCCGCGGUGAAUACGUUCCCGGGCCUUGUACACACCCGCCCGUCACACCAUGAGAGUCGGGAACACCCGAAGUCCGUAGUCUAACCGCGAAGGGGGGCGCGGCCGAAGGUGGGUCCGGUAAUUGGGGUGAAGUCGUAACAAGGUAAC